UUCCAUAUUAAUAGGAUCCAUAUUAAUAGGAUCACACAUGCAAGCCUCCCACACUGGUGAAAAUGCCCUCUAAAUCAUUAAUGAUCUAAAGGAGCAGGUAUCAAGCACAUGACUGCCGUAGCUCAUGACACCUUGCUUAGCCACACCCCCACGGGAUACAGCAGUGAUAAAAAUUAAGCCAAGAAUGAAAGUUUGACUAAGCCAUAUUAAACAAGUGUUGGUAAAUUUCGUGCCAGCCACCGCGGUCAUACGAUUAACCCGAACUAAUAGACCUACCGUGUAAAGCAUGUUAUAGAGAAAACCCGCACUAAAGUUAAAUGUUAACUAGGCUUUAAAAAGCUACAGCUAACAUAAAAAUACAGCACGAAAGUAACUUUAAUAUCUCCGACCACAGGAUGGCUAAGACCCAAACUGGGAUUAGAUACCCCACUAUGUUUAGCCCUAAACUUAGAUAAUUAACCAAACAAAUUUAUCCGCCAGAGAACUAUUAGCAACAGCUUAAAACUCAAAGGACUUGGCGGUGCUUUAUAUCCCCCUAGAAGAGCCUGUUCUAUAAUCAAUAAACCUCAAUACCUCUUGCUAAUCCAGUGUAUAUACCGCCAUCUUCAGCAAACCCUAAAAAGGAAGAAAAGUAAGCACAAGUAUCUUAACAUAAAAAAAGUUAGGUCAAGGUGUAACUUAUGAGGUGGGAAGUAAUGGGCUACAUUUUCUACAUUAGAAUAUUUUCCACGAAAGUCCUUAUGAAACUAAGAACUAAAGGAGGAUUUAGUAGUAAAUUGAGAAUAGAGAUCUCAGUUGAAUUGGGCCAUGAAGCACACACACACUGCCCAUCACCCUCCUCAAGUGACAAAACUCAAAGACAACCUAUUCAAACUAUAAAAACCACAAGAGGAGACAAGUCGUAACAAGGUAAGCAUACAGGAAACUGUGCUUGGAUAAACAAGAUG
rnacentral:ncRNA from 1 species